rnacentral:lncRNA from 1 species
CCAAACCAAGACCAAAGAAGAACAAAAGAAGAAAAGGAAGAGAACAAACCCUAGGUGGAAAAAUUCAAGGGAAAAGUGUGAAAAUUCAAGGAAACAAGUGAAAAAAAGGUAAAAUUUUUCAAUUAAACUUGAGAUCUUUCUUUCCCAUGCAUUUUUCCUUAUUUUUCAUGGUUAAAUUUCAUGUUUUCAUGGUGAAUUCAUGGCUAGCCAAAUGGGUAUGGAGAGAGAAAUGAUGUUGGAAUUGUUUGAUUUUGAGUUAUGUUAGUGAUUAAGGUUAGUUUAGCAUAUUUAGAAGCAAAACAACAAGAAAAGAAUCCAUUUUUCCCAUAAAUCUUCAUUGGGCGAAUCUUCCUUGAUGUGUGUGGGUGAUCGAUUGUUAUUAUUUCAAGAGAAAUGGCUCAGAAAAUGAUGAAUAAUGGUGAGAAAAUUAAGUAAGAAAAAUCACGGUGUUAAUGCACCAUUAUUGACCAAAAAUUUAAAGAAGAAAAGUGAAUAUGGUUUUGCCAAAUUUUAGGUUAUUUGACUUGUGUUUGGUGAAUUAAGGUAUUGGAAAAGAAAUGGAGCAAUUUGGAGCUAAAUAGGACGCGUUGGCCAAUUAAUCGGGUGCUAAGACGAAUUAGGCCAAUACAGGGGAUUAGAUGGUUACCAGUGCAUUUUGCAUUCCAUAUCAUGAAUUAGUAGUCUAAAUUAGUUUAAUUUCGAUUUAGUACCAAAGUAGUAAGUUUCUCGAUUUUGUACUAUGUCAAGGUAGUGAGUCCUCCGAUAAAGGCAAGGAAAUUGCAUCAGAGGACCAGUAGUCAGAGUACUUCGAAAAUUCACACUCUAGACAUUGUGAGUAACCUUACCAUUAUUUUCAUUAUCUAAAGUACGUUUUUAUUCGGUUUUGGUGAAAUUUUAUGAAAAUGAGUUUUAAUGGUAAAUCUUUAUGUUUAUAAACAAAAUGAGUUUAAACGAAAUGAUUUUAUAAAUUGUCUUGAAAUCGAAUGACAGUUUUGAAAAUAGAGUAAUUGGAGACCACUAAUAUGUUGUAAAUUUAUGAUUUGAAUUGAUGGCUUAUGUUAAUGUGUUGGCAUGACUGACUGGGUUGUAUUUUUGUGAACUGUAUGAAUUGUUCUAUUUUACACUUGCAGGCUGGGUAGUAUUAUAUUAGUCAUGUCAUGCUGUCAAAAUUUUAUUGUAUGGUGGGUUUAGCUUGCUGCAGUGGGCGAGUUUCUAUGGAGCAGCCUAUUAGAGGGGCACAGUAAACCCCUUUAUAUUUUACCUCGGUUGGAGAGGCGAGUAGGGUAACUCCCAAGGUAUAACUUUUAGAGUUCACUUCACGCCAAACCACCACGUGAAGGGGAACUCGGCCAAUGCUAAGGAACGACUAUAUUUUUAAAAUAAAAACAUGAUUUAUGCGUACAUAACUUUUAAUAGCCUUGGCGAACUCAGUUGGGAUAGCCCUCAACCAAGGUAUCCCUGAUAACUAAGUAUGAUAAUGAUUUUGGCAUUGGCCAAGUUUUAAGAUACUCAUAAGCCAUGCUAAUGUUUUUAAAUGAAAUGAAUAUUUAUGUUAUGAAAAACAUAUUUGGAUGAAAUGUUUUAUUAGUCUCCUUUUACUCGACUUUAGAUAUUUUGAGUGAUGAAUGUUUACUCACUGAGAUUUUAUAAUCUCACCACCCUCUUUUCCACCCAUUUCAAGUUUAGAGUAGGCUGUAUAUAAUUGAUUCCAUUGAGGGCUUCCCUUGGAUUUGCGUCCUCCAGACUGUAGGUUUAUAGUUUUCCUUACUUCUAGUUAUUCGUGGGCUCACUUGAUAUUGUAAAUUAUAUUAAUUUAAAUACUCUGGUUUACUGUGUCACAGUGUGAAUGAAUAAAUUUAUUUGGCUUUUACAUUACAAAAAUUAUUUACGUAUAACUCUAAAAAUAUUGUUUUAUAAGAAAAUAGAAUAUUUUACUUAAUAUUUCUUUUAUUUUUCUAUUAUAUCCAAAUAAGCAUAAUUUCAUUUUAAAUAAAGAUUUUAGACUUUUAAACUCAUUUUGAUUAUGAAUUAUGUGUUUUGUACUUGUAUAUUACAUUUUAGCCAGUUUCAAAAUUUUGAAAAAAAUGACCAAAAUACCCCUGUGAGACGAAAAUUAUUAUUUUAUUUGUUUUAAGUUAAAAACAGUUUAAAAUCUUUUAUAACGUGGUAUUUGGCAACAGUUACUCACAGGGGAAAUGAGAAGCUGAUAUUAAAGCCUGGCGAGGUUCCGGUUGACAUUCCGGGUAAUGAGUGUCGAUCAGGGCAUCGCGACGGUUGUUACGGGCUCGAGGGGAGUUUCGGGUCGUGACAAUUCGAUUGGUAUCAGAGCUUUUGGUUUUAAAGAUCAGAGCUUUUUGGUUUAAAGUUGUUUUAAAGUUAUUUUAAGAAUUUACAGUGUCAGUUUAGCCCCAAGUUAAGUUAGGUUAAGUUGAAUAGAAUACAUGCAUCAGCAUAUAGAACCUGAGGUUGCCUACUCGCUUUGUUCCCUCUUAUAGAUUAUUAUGCCUCCUCGACGUGAACACCCACCUCUCACUAGAUCGGCUGAGAGGGAAAGAGGUCGUUCCCGAUAUCGUCAGCUAUAUCUUAUAAAGGGGGAAUUGACUGUGUCUACUAUUCGGGCUGCACCUGUUGCUGAACAGACCGAGACUCCUCCACAUCCUUCACCUCCUCCGCUACCUAUUAGUAUUCCUGCGAUGCCUCCUUAGGUAGUUCAGGCAUUGACAGCCUUCUCUACUGCUAUUACUGGCCAGGCUCAAGCUAGUCAAGCUCUUCCUACAAUUCCUCCGGCUGCUACUUCAGUACCACCACCCCCACCUUUUGUCCCACCAUCAGUGCUGGGUGUUUUUGAUUCUAAGAAGCUUAAAGAGGCUAGGCAACAUAGUUGUGUUUCUUUUAUGGGUGAAUCGGAUGCAAUCGUAUCUAAAGAGGUGGUGCGAAUGGCUUUAAGAGCUGAAAAGCUUGCGAAUGAAAAUAGGAGUCUGCAAGCUGAGUUAGUAAAAAGGAGAAAUCUGAGUGUAUCUUCUAGUCAGCCACCAAAAAAGGACAAAGACUCCUCUGUUUCAGGAAGUACUACUACCGUUUCAAUAACAUCUUUUCAACCUCUAUUUUCACAAACACAGCAGAGGCCUCCAAGAUUUAAUAGAUCUACGAUGACUAUUUCUGAAAAGAGUUCUGGAGGUUCUCAUAGAUGCAAAAAUUGUAGGAGAUAUCAUUUCGGGCAAUGUAGAGAGCUUGUAUGAUGUUUUUAUUGUGAUCAACUAGGUCACAUUAGGAGAGAUUGCCCACAGUUAGGACGGGCUACGGUAGCUACUCCAUCUCCAUCAGCUCAUACGGAUAUGCAGAGGAGAGAUUCCUCUGGAUUGCAACCGAGACAGGGAUGAUUUUAACAUACCACCAAGGGUAGAUUAAAUAUGUUGAAAUUAAUGUUCUAAUAGUGUGCAUAUGAUAGAAAGCUAGUUUGUAAGUUGUAGUUUUCAUGAUCAUGAAAUAUAUAAAGAUUAUAAAUAUAUGGACAUACACUUGGAGUUGUAAUUUUCAAGUUUGGAGUAUUUAAGAUAUGAUUAAAUGGAAUUAGCAUUAGUUAAGGUACAUAAAUGUUUUAAUUAAUUUUUGUGGAGUAUGCGUGAUAGUAGAAUGGAGGAACAUAGUGUCGUGAUACUAUAUGGUGAAGUCACUAUAAAAUUUGGAAAGAGUAUUCUCAAGUGGAAUUUAUUGACUGAUGAUAAGUGAUGGGCAAUCUGAGAUACAUGUAGUUAUGAAUAGAUUUGGAGAUUUUUGCUUAAGCAAACUCGUACUAAAUGUUAUGGUAAAGAUGCAGGAAUGCUAGUGGCAAAAUAAAUACGUUAAAUCAAUGUUCUGAUCACGUAAUUGUGAUAGAAAGUUAGUCUUGCUAAUUGUGGUAUAGACUUAGAGGGAAGCCACACGAUUGUGAAUAAUUGAGGUAAUAGCUUUAAAGGUAGAAGAGUUGUUGGGAUAAAGUGAAUUUAAACAGUUGCAAUGCCACAGUACUGACUACCAAACGCUGUCGCGUUAAGAACCCUAAUGGCUAGAAAGCAUGAGCAAAUUGAGAGUGGCUUGAAGAUGAAACUCACGAGUUGAAGAAUGGUCAUUGGUUUUGAUGCUAAGCUUUGUUGUUUGGAAUUUUAAGUGCAUUGGGGAGGUAUUAAGAUAAAGAUGAUGAGUGAAAUUGUAAAAUUUCUUUAUUGCCUUAUAUAUUGGCAUGUAAGAGAAAGAAAACUUAGAGAGUUUUUGAGAUGGCUACAUAAAAAUAAAUUAACAUGUGGAGUGUUAAGAUGAAUAAUAUGAUGACUGAAGUCAAAUCUUAAGAAAUAAGGAAGACAAGAGAUUAAGUCUUAUUAAAGACUAAUGAGAAAGUGAGCGAAAGGUUAAAUGAAUAUAUGAGAUACUGAUAAGAGAUGUCAAUACCAAGUGAGGAAAAUGUAAAUAAAGAUUUCAUUAAUGAUAUAGCAAAUGACUUGAUAUAGAAUAUUGUUUAAGAAUAUACUAAUCUUGUCUUAACCUUGUUGAAAGGAAAGGAUUAGUAACAACACAAGUAAACUAGGUGACAUGCUAGAAACCCUCGGAGAUAAAUUGAAGCAUUAGUAGUUGGGCAUGCCUUUAUGGAAAUGAUAUACUUGGUGUAUAAGAGAGCAAAUAAGUGAUUAAGUGUUUCAAGAAUGUUUAAACGCUUUUGAGAAAGAAUUAUAAGUUAUACAUGAUGAGCAUAAGAUGUGUGACUUUGAAACUUGUUGAGGAGCCUAACGACUAAGUCACAAGUUAAAUGAUCAUAUGAUGUGAGACAUAAGUCUAAGAUAGAUAAUCCCAAGGAAAUACUCAAGAAGAGUUUUGCUACGAAUUUUAUGGAAGCUAGCAUUAAGUUAUGUGGCUAUAAAUAGGAAGCCGUAAGUUGGAAGUGAAAUUCGUAUUAACAUUGAAAAGUACUUCGAAGAACCUUAUUCCAAGUCUUAAGUUUUAAGUACAAACUGCAGAUUGGUCUAGGGAGAAUGAUAUCACAUUAGUAUGGAAGAACAGAACAAAGGAUGAAUGAAGAUAAUUUGGAUAAUGAAGCUUGAUAAUGAAAAUUUCCUAAGGUAGUAUGAAAAUUGGAAUUUGAAAAUGCUUAAGGCAUGCAUGAUUCGAAUCAGUUUAAGUUUUUAAGUGACAUUUAGCAAAUGAGAUGUGAUUAAUGACAUUGUGAUGUGAGGAUAUAGCAUGAUGAAACUCAAGCAUACGAUUGGAAAUGAUAUAAAUAAUAUAUCAAUUUUGAUAUAUAAAGAUUUGGGGAAAGGUUUAUAGCUUAUAGGUGAAUAUGUGUAAUCGAAUUCAUGUAAUAAAAGGUGUGAAAAUCUACCUUGAUUGGCAUAAGCCCAUGACUCAAAAUGAUUAAUUAUAGAUUUAAUCUUCUAAGGAAAAAGGGACUGAAGGAAGUUGAUAUCAGAAAGAUCUUAAUAAAUGAUACUUUGAUUUUAAAGUGUACGUAAGGGGAGAUAAAUGUUUAUUUUCAUUUCCAAAUUGAUAAACUAAUGAGGCCAUGAGAUCUAGCGUCUGAAUGUAAAUUUGAGGAAUCACAAGUUGAAUAUGUUUGUAUGUGAUGUAUAACUAACUAGUUAGUUAUGACCUAGGAACUUUAAGGAUUGAUUAAGUCCAUAAGGAUACAUCCAAAAGUAUGUUUAUUUAUUUAAAUGUAUGGUGGUAAUAGUCGAGAUCUACUUAAUAAGUACUUGAUAAAAAAAAUAAAAAAUACAAAAGUUUCUUUUUGAGAAUAUGGUUACUAAUGGUUACCAAAUUUAGAUUAUCUGUGAUGUUAAAUAUAUAUGUGGAUAAAUAAAAGGUGUUUGAUUCUUAUGUAUUAUCAAAUGCUUGAAUAGAAUUUGUAGAGAGGUAUGUAAAACGGAAUAGAAGUUGGUUGACCAUUUAAACCCAUAAUUAAUGGUGAAAUAAAUGUUUGAAUGUUGGAAGGUUUGAUAAAAGGUCAAGGUAAAGAAAUUGUGGAUAGUUAAGUAAACAUGCAUGAUUGAUGAUUUAAGGAUGAUUUGACUUAGAUGCAACCCGUGUGUAUUCUAGAUCAAAAGGAUCGAGUGUUGAGGAAUAAAAACAUCCCAAUGGUUAAAGGCGUUCCUUUCGGAGGGAGUAAAAAGGUCUCGAGUUCGAAGCUUGGCGAGAAGGUCCUGUAGGGCCUGUCGUGCCACCCUUAGGCAUGGCGAAUACAAGUAAGUCAAGUGAUGGGGACCCAGAUGUAACAAUACCUUGGAGUGGGCCCUUGAGGGGGAUGCCACAGAAUGCUCGAAUGGAAGAGAUGAUAUGGAAAGUAGAGCACCAGAUGAGAGACCAAUAUCCACAUCUUUUCUUGGAAUUUGGUAAUUGAAAUUUUGAGGUCAAAAUUUUAUUUUAAGGGGGUAGUGCUGUAAAGCCUGUCCUUAUAAAAUACCUGUCAUGACAUACAUAUAAUGGAUAGCAUGUUUGCAUGCUAUGAGAGUUUCGAAAAAUUUACAAAAGUCGGUAUUGUACCUAGAGUUACAACAAAGUUGAUUUAAGCCUCGAACUAGAUCAAAUAGAGAUUUUAGGGUGAAAUUGAAAAUAGUACAGUCCAGGAAUGAUUUAAAAUGGUGAUUUGGAGUUCGAGGAUCAAUUUGGACUCAAACUGGAAAUUUCACUAUCUAGGGGUAAAAUGGUAAUUUUGCCACUCGAGGACAAAAUGGGAAAUUUUUCAAAGAUUUUGAUCACAUUUGACUUAUUGAAGUAUGAUUUGAUGUAGAUAAGUGAAAAAUUGUAAUCCUUGUAUUUUUCGGAGCAUAGAGGUAAAAUGAUAAUUUUGCCACCCCAAGGGUAAAAUUAUAAUUUUAUAUACCCGACACUUGUUCAACACAUGGAUUUUAUCCAAUAUUAUCAUGGAUAAUUGAAGGAAUUUAAGUGGUGGAAAGAGAAAGCUUAAUAGUUAAGAAAUUACAAAUGGACCAAUAAUGUGGUGACAUUUGUCAAGUUUAUAUCCAUUAUUUAUUUAGGUUUAAAAUAAGCAUAAAAUCAGCCAGUUUUCUUUCAUAUGGCUGGCCAAACCAAGACCAAAGAAGAACAAAAGCAGAAAAAGAAGAGAACAAACCCUAGGUGAAAAAAUUCAAGGGAAAAGUGUGAAAAUUCAAGGAAACAAGUGAAAAAAAACGUAAAAUUUUUCAAUUAGACUUGAGAUCUUUCUUUCCCAUGCAUUUCUCCUUAUUUUCCAUGGUUAAAUUUCAUGAUGCCAGGGUGAAUUCAUGGCUAGCCAAAUGGGUAUGGAGAGAGAAAUGAUGUUGGAAUUGUUUGAUUUUGAGUUAUGUUAGUGAUUAAGGUUAGUUUAACAUAUUUAGAAGCAAAACAACAAGAAAAAAAUCCAUUUUCCCCAUGAAUCUUCAUUGGCCGAAUCUUCCUUGAUGUGUGUGGGUGAUCGAUUGUUAUUAUUUCAAGAGAAAUGGCUUAGAAAAUGAUGAAUAAUGGUGAGAAAAUUAAGUAGGAAAAAUCACGGUGUUAAUGAACCAUUAUUGAUUGAAAUUUUUAAGAAGAAAAGUGAAGAUGGUUUUGCCAAAUUUUAGGUUAUUUGACUUGUAUUUGGUGAAUUAAGGUAUUGAAAAAGAAAUGGAGCAAUUUGGAGCUAAAUAGGACGCGUUGGCCAAUUAAUCGGGUGAUAAGACGAAUUAGGCCAAUACAGGGGAUUAGAUGGUUACCAGUGCGUUUUGCAUUCCAUAUCAUGAAUUAGUAGUCUAAAUUAGUUUAAUUUUGAUUUAGUACCAAAGUAGUAAGUUUCUCGAUUUUGUACUAUGUCAAGGUGGUGAGUCCUCCGAUAAAGGCAAAGAAAUUGCUUCCGAGGACCAGUAGUCAGAGUACUUCGAAAAUUCGCACUCUAGACAUUGUGAGUAACCUUACCAUCAUUUUGAUUAUCUAAAGUAUGUUUUUAUUCGGUUUUGGUGAAAUUUUAUGAAAAUGAGUUUUAAUGGUAAAUCUUUAUGUUUAUAAACAAAAUGAGUUUAAACGAAAUGAUUUUAUAAAUUGUCUUGAAAUCGAAUGACGGUUUUGAAAAUAGAGUAAUUGGAGACCAUUGAUAUGUUGUAAAUUUAUGAUUUGAAUUGAUGGCUUAUGUUAAUGUGUUGGCAUGACUGACUAGGUUGUAUUUUUGUGAACUGUAUGAAUUGUUCUAUUUUACACUUGCAGGCUGGGUAGUAUUAUAUUAGUCAUGUCAUGCUGUCAAAAUUUUAUUGUAUGGUGGGUUUAGCUUGCUGCAGUGGGCGGGUUUCUGUGGACCAGCCUAUUAGAGGGGCACAGUAAACCUCUUUAUAUUUUACCUCGGUUGGAGAGGCUAGUAAGGUAACUCCCGAGGUAUAACUUUUAGAGUUUACUUCACGCCAAACCACCACGUGAGGGGGAACUCGGCCAACGCUAAGGAACGGCUAUAUUUUUAAA